CUCCUUCUAGCAGCCUCCCUUGCAGCAACAAGAAUUGAACUGGAGCUGUUUGUUCCAUCAUCACCCUUCAAAAUGGAUGCAGGAGUAGCCUUACCCAAAUUUUUCAUGCCAUCAGAAAGAGAGUUAAAAUUGAUCUGACUUGGGUUAUGGUGACCACCAGAAACUACUGCUUCUUCAGCCAUCAGUUUAGCUAGCGAUGCAGCAUUUGAUGCAACCUUGGCAGCUGCAGCUGCCGCCUUUGCAACAGCAGCAGCAGCUGCUAUUGCAACAGCUGCAGAUGCUAGUUUGGUUUCAACAUCUGGCAACAACCCAGAAUUUCUCUGCUUAUCUAACUGAUCCCAUAUUUCCCGGCUAUGAUUAACAGCAGAAGUCGCAAGUGCAGAGGCAUUCUCCGCCUGCAGCCUAGCCUCCUUUAUCUGGCCAAGGGUAUCCUCUGAAAAAAUUGCCCUCGGUUCUACGUGGCCUCCUUUAAUAAGAUCUGAAGAAGAUGCA
rnacentral:misc_RNA from 1 species